CUUUUGCAGCUGCAGUCCAUAUGGGGGAAUUCUUACUGUGUUGUCCUUCUUCUACAAUCAUGGAGAAGUAAGUUUUUGGUACACAGAGGGACAUGGGGACAAAUAUAGGGUCAUUUUUUAGCUCACCUGGCCCACAGGCCAAGUGAGCUUUUCCCACACUUUGCGUCAGUCGUCCGUCGUCGUUAAUUUACAAAAAUCUUCUACUCUGAAACUACGGCCAAAAAACCAAACUUGCCACAAUAAUGGGGGUAUCUAUUUAAAAAUUCAGGUGACCCGGCCACCAACCAAGAUGGCCACCAUGGCUAAAAAUAGAACAUAGGGGUAAAAUGCAGUUUUUGGCUUAUAACUCAAAAGCCAAAGCAUUUAGAGCAAACCUGACAUGCGUUAAAUUGUUAAUCAGGUUCAAGAUUAUUGCUGAAAUUUUCAGAUGAAUUGGGACAAACCCGUUGGUUAGUUGCUGCCCUGAAUUGUAAUUUAUGGAAAUUUUGCUGUUUUUGGUUAUUAUCUUGAAAUUAUUAUAGAUAGAGAUAAACUGAAACGAAUAUUGUUCAGCAAAGUAAGACUACAAAUAAGUCAACAUGACCAAAUGGUCAGUUGACCCCUUUAAGCGUUAUUGCCUUUUAGUCAAUUUUACAAUUUUCAUAAAUAUUUACAAAAUAUUUUCCACUGUCACUUCUGGGCCAAUUUCAUUAUAGAUAGAGAUAAAUGUAAGCAGCAAGAUUGUUCAAUAAAGUAAGAUCUACAAACACAUCACCAACACCAAAACACAAUUUUGUCAUGAAUCCAUCUGUGUCCUUGUUUAAUAUGCACAUAGACAAAGGUGAGCGACACAGGCUCUUAAGAGCCUCUAGUUUCUGUUCAGGAGUUAUUGUUUUUGAAAGAUUGAAAAAUUGUGUUACCAGGACUUCAUGUUGUUGCAUUUACUCAUGAACCAUUCAACCAAAGCUUUUCAAAUUUUAAUAUGUUGUUACUGAUGACAAAAUGGAGGUCAAGUCUGAUAUUGAUGAUUUUCACUUUCACCGUUCAUCAGUUAUGGUUCUUGUGAUAUUGAAAAAUGCCAGGACACAAAUAAAUAUUAAUAAAUCCAGUUUGCUGUCGUACUGACAGCCUAUUGUUGAUUAUGGGCCAAAUUGGUCCAAAUUGGGGCCAACAUUUAAUUUUGUUAGAUUUCAACAACAUUUAAAACUUUUUAAGUGGUAUUGAUGUGUCUUAAACUGUAUCACAUUUUACAAUAAGAAAAUUUUAUCAAAUGUUAUCUUUGAGGGAAAAGGGGGAAGGUUAUAUACAUUUUUGGGGGGGGGGUGUAUUAUUUUAAUUUAUUUGGGUAGAAUUUUUUUAUUCCAAUAUUUAAGAAAUUUUAAGAAUUUUAUUUUAUUUAUAUUUUUUGGGGGAAGGGGUAAACAAGUAAAGAAAUCGUCAAUGAAUAUUAUUCAACUCAUGGUCGAAGGAGCGAGGGUUGUUUCUAGAAUUAAUCUAGCAGUUCUUUUGUAAUUUUUAUCUAUUUAACCUCCGCUACACUACUCAACUAUACAACAUAAUCAAUAAGUGCAGAUAUAACAUAUAGAAUAAUUUUGCAGUCUAGAUUUAGAAUUUCUUAAUCUAAAUGAGAUAUAUUAAAAAUUUUUGGCGAUAAUCAUUUGGUUUGUCCAUGUGAGGGAAGGGUAAAAUUUUAAUGCUAAAAGACUUUGCAUGUAAAGAUUGUAUCACUUGAUUGUUAAUAGUUAAACAACUCUAAUUGCUAUUGGCAUUGCUCUUUGCUUCGUUCCAAUAAUAUAUAUUUUUUUAUUUUUAUUGAUGAACAUAUUGUAUAUUGCACCAUUCUCAACACAUGUAAAUUCUUCUUGUCUUUGACUUAGAGUUUGAUAACAAUUACCAGAGAUGUAAGGUUGAAUAUCAGCAUAUAAACAGUCAACAAUUUUUCAUAUAGAUAGGAAGGUCGUUUAUGUAUAAUAUAACAGAAGGGUUCCUAAUAUGGACUUUGGGGACACCAACUUGAUAUAAAGUUUUUCAGAAUGAUCUCUUAGUACUUGUUGAGUUCUUUGAUUCAUAUAUGCCUAAUACAUCUUUAGCUAAGGAGUGUCAUUGAAGGUUACAUGAAUACGGUUUCAAUGAAGUUGAAUUAUUCUUUUGCAAGUGAAUAAUUUGUCAGCAAUGUUUAAUUAGCUUAUUAUUUUAGAUUAGACAAAAUUGAACCAAACUACUAAAAGCCAAUAGUUAUUUCAAUAUUUCACUUUCAUUAGAAAUUGAACAAAAAGAAAACACAUUCUAUUUUUUUUUUAUAUCUUCUAGCUAAAUCCCCUUAAACUGAUUUCAAUAAAAGAAUUAAUAAAUAUCAAAAUGCCAUAUAUUUUACCAGUUGGAAAUCUUUUCAUUUCAGAGACCCUUGUAUAUGGUCCUAUGAGAGGAAGAAAAUAUUUUGCAUAUAUAUUUUUAUAUUUACAUAAUUUACUUUGAGAAAUUGAGUAGUAUUAUAGGUUCAUAACAUAUAUACAUAUAUGUGAAAGUGUAAAUCAUAAAGGAAGAUUAUUUUGUAGGCUACCAGAGUUAUGUGGACUCCACCACUUAGAGAGAGUUUUGCGUUUCCUGUGCUUGUGAUACAGAUAUUUUUAGUAACAAUUUGCCUGAGGUUUGUAUUAAGAAAAUUAGUUAUAAAUAUUUGAAAGAACUAGCAAAGAGUUCCUGUUUUUAUACGUCCGUUUACAGGAUAAACUGUUGUCUGUCCAUCAACAUGUUGGACAUGAACUCAAAACGCUUUAACAUGAAACUUUGAUUUUAUUCAUGAAAAAGGAGUGAUUUUCAAUUUUUUGGACAAUAUUCUUUCAGUGCUUUGGGCAGUUUUUAAACAACCCCAAAAAAUUAGAAUUUGUUUGGUCCUAUAUUGGUAUCACGUCCUCGUAGUAGUCUGCAUUGUUGUUGUCUUCAGUGACGUCCUAAGACAAAUGAUUUCCAGAUAAUAACUUAAGUAUAAGUGAAUAGAAAUCAAUAAAAUUUUAACACAAGGUUUAUAACCACUUCAGGAAGGUUGGGAUUGAUUUUGAAGGUUAUGGAACCAACAGUUUAGGAAUCAGGGUCCCAAAAAGGGGCCCAAAUAAGCAUUUUUAUAGGACCACAAAAUUGUUGUUGUAUAUUUGUAUCACGUAGUUGUCGUCAGUGUCGUUUGAAGACAGAUGGUUUCCAAAUAAUAACUUUAGUAUAAGUAAUAAAAAUCAAUAAAGUUUUAACACAAGGUAUAUAACCACUAAAGGAAGGUUGGGGUUGAUUUUUGGGUAAUAGUCUUAACUGUUUAGGAAUUAGAGGCCAAAAACAGGGCCCAAAUAAGCAUUUUUGUAGUUUCAAGACUAUAACUUGUGUGUAUUACUAAUGUUAUUUCAACUGAUUGGGCGGAGCUUACGUUUCAAUUUGCAUAAGGACAGUCUAUUCGAAGAUGUGUGUGAUAAGAAUGAUUGCAGUUAUAUUAUUGUUACUGAUUUAUAAACACCCAUUAAUUAGUGUUACCAAACAGAUAUACAGAAAAGAACAAAGUAUACGACAAGGGAUGAAAAAGUUAAAAUUUAAAGCAUUCACAUGUGAGUUUUUUUUAAAGUAUCGGCUAAUGUUUUAUUCUGUUUGAAACUUUUUCUGAUUGUGAGAUUUUAUUUUAAACGUGUUUUAUAAAAAUUAAAAAUAUAUAUAAAAAUAAUAAAAAAUUUAAACCCUUUUUGUCCUAGCUAAUUAAAUUUAAUCAAUUCCAUUUGCAACUUAUCCCUGUGCAUCCCCCUAAAAUCAUUUGGAAUAUGAUAAAGAGAAAAAAGUAUUUCAAAACAUUAAUAAUAACGAUAUAUGCAUAUUUUGAAACUGAUGUCUUCAUGAUUUUACUUUUAAUUUCACAAAUUCCCAAAUGUGACAAAUUUAACAUGUUUUUAUACGACCGCAAAAUUUUUUUUGCAUCAUAUAAUGCUAUCAUGUCGUCGUCGUCUUCGUUGUCGUCCGAAGACGCAUUUAGUUUUCCGGACAAAACUUUAGUUUAGUGAAUGGAUCUCUAUAAAAUUUUACCAGAAGGUUCAAUACCACUAAAGGAAGGUUGGAUUGAUUUUUGGUUAUGGUCCCAAUAGUUGAGGAAUUGGGGGCCAAAAAGGGGGCCCAAAUAAGCAUUUUUGUAGCUUUCAAGCAAUAACUUGUGUUUAAGUUGUAUGAAUCUCUCUGAAUUGUACCACAAGUUUCCAUACCAUGAAGGGUGGUUAGUAUUGACUUUAGGGGUUAUGGCUCAAAAUGUGUUGGAAUUAUCAGCAAAAUAAAGGGGAAAACUAUUUUUUUCUGGUCAAUGGAUAAUUAAAAGACAAUUUUAAAGCAGUGUCAGGGAGGUAAUUCAGAAAUAUUUAACAUACAAUGUUAGGUAUAUUCUGAUUUACCUCCCUUACACUACUUGUGUAACGUGUAACCGGGUGAUCAAUGGAUCGUAUCUGAAUAAAUCAGGAUUAAGUGUUAACUCAUUUUUUUGACCACAAGAAGUUGUCCUAUCAAAACAAUUAACACACUUAAAUGAAUCACAAGUCAAAUAUAUACGCCACACAAUGCACAUUAAUCAAAAUGCCGUGAAGUACCUCAUUCACAAUCACAGACACAAUGUUUCAUAACAGAAUAUAUACACAAUGUCACUAUGCAAUCACUAUGCAACAUGUAUCAGACCGAUUUAUUCACAAUGUCAUAACCAGAUUAUUAUGCAACAUGCAUACGGCCCUUUAAUUAACCAAUGUCCCAACAAUUACUUUGCACAUGCAUCAAGUAAGUAUACACAAAACGUAUGACACAAAAUCACAUAUAUACAACUUUAUAUUUACAAUGUCACCAAUAUGUCGUAUCACCUUGUUAGUCUGCAAACUAACCACAAUAACACAAUGACCACAAUUACACUUGCAAUGUUUCAAUUCACAAGGAUGUAUUUAUAACACAGCUGAACUCACGCACUAACUAUCCUUUGAGUUCACACAAUGGAAUAACUUAUCAACUGGUAAGUUAACACAGUGCACUUUACUAAUACACUUCACACAAUAUAAACAACUUGCAAACAGCAAGUAAACACCUUGUAUUCUCACUAAUACAAAUCUAUGAAGUAUUCACUUCCACAUAGUACACUUGCAACACCAGCAGUAUCACCUAGUAUUCUCAUAUUACAAUACCACUUAUAUAUCAAUCACUUCUACAUUGUAUUACAAUCACUAUUGCAAGUAUCCACAUAUAAAUCCGAACACUAUUUAUAUAUUUUGGAAUCACUUAAUUUACUCUACUUACCAGUUUGGAAAAUAAUCCUGAUUUAUCCUUCAACGGUCCACAUAAAACUGACCAAGUUUCUCUGUUUUGAGCUGGUUUUAUAUACUACCAAUAUGGAACGGUCUUAUACUUAAAGGGUGAAAUCAAGACUUACCAAAUCUAGGUGUUUUAAGUAACAGAAUGGUGCUCAACUAUGGAGAAACUUAUGUACAUAUAGAAACAACAAUUAACAGGGAAAGACAACUGGUAUUCACACAUCAAAUAAAUAACUAUGACCGAUUUUUCGUUACACUUGUAAAUUAUGUAUGAUAAAAUGUCAGUUUUGGACUAAUUGAAAAAAAAGGGGGGGGGUGUAGUAGUUUUCAAAUUUUUUAUCAAUUUUUGAAAAGUUUGAAGAAGAAAUUUUAGAUUCCAAUAUGCACAAUAGAUUUGUAAGAUCUUGACAUUUGUAAAACUUACAGAAAAACUAAAGAAGCCUUUUGGAUAAAAAAAUUAAAAAUUUAUGAACCUGAAGAACUCAACACAAUAUAUAACGAUAAUAAAAUAUUUAUUUAAAAAGGCCAAAACGUGCAAAUGAACGUCAUAGAGAUUAUUAUAACGUAAUGUAUCAAGCAAUGUAAUUGUUGUUCAAUGUUUAAUUUAUUCCAAUGAAGAGCCGUAUGGCGAAACGUAUGGAAUUUGUUAUAGUUUCUAUUAUGCAAUCAUUCAGAGACUGAAUAAAUAGUCAACGAUCAAUCUUACAGGGCGAUGGAUCAUGUAGUAAUAUGAUUCUGUACGCUACAACAUCUAUACUAUUAAACGAGAAGACCUCAUUUUGGGUGUCGCUUCUUUCCACAAUAAAUUAAUCAACACGCCUCUGUGUCCUAUAGGUACAGGCAUAGUCGUAUUGUCAUCCAUUCAUAUGAUUAUUCAAUUGAUAUUUGGGAGAAAAACGAGAAAAAGGCAUCUAUUGUCCGUCAUUGGAUGAAAUUUUAAGUCAGAUUAGACUUCCGUUUGCGUUUUUCUGUAGUAUACUUAGAACAUACGAAUAAAGUGUAUUUUAAAUUCUUCUCUGCUAUCAUUUUUAAGUUUCCUAUCCACGGCGGUCAAGAGAUUUAUUAAAUGGAAGGGUCUGCAUGUAUACUAUAUCAAUUGACACCAUGGAUCGAUUAAGUAAACUUAAAUUGAAAGUAACAUGAUACACUUUAUUUAAUAGUAAUUGAUUUCAUAAUAUACAAUAAGCGCUAAAUAUUAUUUCAUUGACUUUUUGAUAAUUUUUCUGAAAUUCUCCAGUCAUAAAAUCUUUUACAAAAUUCAUUAAUUACAAAAAAAUGUGUAUGAUUGCCAUGUUGAGACAACUCUCACCAAGAGACAACACUACGGCUUUCAAAACGACAAAGCCCAUACCGCUUACUCAGCUUAAAAGACCGAAAUGACGAUGUAAAACAUUCAAAAGAGAAAUCUAGCGGCCUUAUUUAUUUACAAAAAAUGAACGAAAAACAAAUAUUAACACAUAAACAACGACAACACUAUUACAGGCUCCUUAUUAAAUAUUUAUAACAUACUAAUUUACAUUGAAUUGAUAGAAAAAAAUGGAAUUUUGGAAUGAAGAGAAGGAUAAAAAAAAAACUUUUCCUGUCCCAUAAACCUAUGACUUCUGAUUCUUUUGCUGAAUUCUCCAGUCAUUCAAUAUUCAACAAAAUUCUUCUAACAACACUUUACAUACUUUAAACUACGCUCCGAAUGCCGCGAUUUCGCGGUGUGUUCUAUGUAAUAUAUAACAAGUCAAAAGGGUACAACAUCACCAUUAAUAACUAUAAAAUGAACAAAUAUAGAUAUUUCGGAUAACCGUAUCCUUCUUCAAUAAUGCACGAUGUUAAAUGAAUCAUGUCAAUAUAUUCAAACUGAGAAACUUUUCUAAAUCUUGAAAUUAUAAAAUUUAAGCAAACACCACAGACGCUGAUACACAAUUUUAAAAUUUCAAACACGGCGCAAAGAUUACAAAGAUAUGCCAAAUGAUAAUAGUUAUUUUCGAUGUGAAUGGCACACAUAAUUCAAAAGGUUGUGACAGUUUAUAUGUUAUAACUGCAUUGAGGGAGUCCUAAACAAAAAAAUCAAAAUGUCCGAACCGAUCCAAGUGGUAUAAUAUUUCAAAUUUGACAGGUAGGGCAAUUGCAACAGAAACUACAUAUUAAGCCUCCAAACGAAUAGCAGUCUAAUAAUGAUUAGAAAAAUAAGUAUUAUCUAAUGAGGUAAAAUAAUUGAACGUGGCUACGUACUUAUACAUCCAUCCGAAUGAAUGUAGCCCUGUAAUUUAAACUGGUAUUUAAAAAAAUUUCGAACUGUAAAGCCAGUAUAAAGCCGGAGUUACUAAGUUAGGAAUAUCUAAAAUGUAUAGAGUGUCAUAAUUUUGCUUGUACAAACAUGUGUGUUGAUUCUGUUGACAAACAUCAAUAAUCUCCUGACCCACUGCAUUCUUUAUUCAUAAUUAGCUUAUUUCUUCAUCCAUUUCUUUGGCUAGUUCACUAAGUUGUUUCAUGACUUCUACUGGAUACCUACAACUGUCAUACAGACAUUCAAAUAACAUUAAGACAAGCAAACCAGAAGGUUUUUAUAUGACCGCAAAAAGCGUUUGUAUAAUGGUAUGAUGUCGUCGUUUGCGUCAUCCGAAGACACAUUUUGGUGUCCGGACAAUAACUUUAGUUUAAGUGAAUGGAUCUCUAUGAAAUUUUAUAAGGAGGUUCAAUACCUAAAAGGAAGGUUGGGAUUUAUUUUGGGGAUGAUGGUCCCAACUGUUUUGGAAUUAGGGGCCCAAAAGGGCCCAAAUCAAGCAUUUUUUACUUUCAGGAUAUAACUUGUGUAUAAGUAUUCAAUUGCUCUGAAAUUUGUACCACAAUGUUUAAUACCAAGGUAAAAGGUUUGAAUUGAUUUUGGGGGUUAUGGUCCCAAAGGUUUAGGAAUUUGGGGCUGAAAAAGGGGCCCAAAUAAGCAUUUUUGUAGUUUCCAGUCAAUAACUUGUGAUUAAGUGUAUAAUCUCUCUGAAAUUAUACCACAAGUUUCCAUACUACAAAGAAUGGUUAUGAGGGGUUAUGGCUCAAAUAUAUUAGCAGUUUAGGGGAAAAAAAGAGAAAAACAAGGGUUUUCUGGUUAAAGGACAAUUUAGACAUUAAAAGUAGUGUACUAGGGAGGUAAGCCAAUUCCAUUUAGAGAAUACUGUUAUAUAUAAUGUUUGAUUACCUCCCUUACACUGCUUGAAAAUAUGUAUUAAGAAAUGAUGAUUGUCUUGAGAUGAUUAGCUGUAAAUUUAUAUUUAGACAUGUUAGAAGUUACUAUUAAUUAAUAUUAAUUUUAAUAUUGACUGUAUGCAUUUUAUAUUUUAUGAUGUAUUAAACGAGUAGUUAUUGUUGCAAUUAACUCUUUUUGAGGGGAUUAAUAUUCAACAGCAUAUUGUUUGCUCAAAAGCAAAAAAGAUUUUAGGUUCAUUAGACCAUGUCAUUUAUUCUGUCUCAGAAACCUAUACUGUGUCAACUUUUUAAUUACAAUCCAAAUUCAGAGCUGUAUCAAGCUUGAAUGUUGUGCCCAUACUUGCCCAAACUGUUCAGAGUUCAACCUCUGGGGUCGUAUAAAGCUGCACCCUGCCGAGCAUCUGGUUGAUUAUGGACCAAAUUGGGGUCCAAAUUUAAACUUUGUUUGAUUUCAACAAAAAUUGAAUAUAUGAAGUUCUAUGACUGUGUAUUUAAAUUUGGGAUUUUUGGGCCCUGUUAUCAAAUUGUUCCACAUUAAGGUCAAAAGGAUCCAAAAUUAAAUUUGUUUGAUUUCAUCAAAAAUCGAAUUAUUGGGGUUCUUUGAUAUGCCAAAUCUAACUUGUUUUUAGAUUUUUUUUUUUUCCUGUUUUCAAAUUGGCCUACAUUAAGGUCCAAAGGGUCCAAAAUUUGAUUUUAUUUACAUUUUAACAAAAUUUAUUUCUUGGGUCUUUGAUAUGCUAAUCUAAACAUGUUUUUAGAUUUUAUGCCCACCUAUGAUAGUCGAGGGCAUUAUGUUUUUCUGGUCUGUGCGUCCGUCUGUCAUCCUUCCGUCUGUCCGUCCUUCGUCGUCCGUCCGUUCGUUCAGUUAAAGCUUUUGGUCAAGGUAGUUUUGAUGAAGUUGAAGUCCAAUCAACUUCAACUAAGUACACAUGUUCCCUAUAGAUAUGAUCUUUUCAAUUUAAUUGCCAAAUUAGAUUUUGACCGCAAUUCACGGUCUACUGAACAUAGAAAAUAAUAGUGCAAGUUUCAGGUUAAAUUUUGGUCAAGGUAGUUUUUGAUGAAGUUGAAGUCCAAUCAACUUCAAACUUAAUACACAUGUUCCUAUGAUAUGAUCUUUUUAAUUUAAUUGCCAAAUUAGAGUUUUGACCCAAUUUCACGGUCUACUGAACAAAGAAAAAUGAUAAUGUGAGUGGGGCAUCCGUGUACAUGGACACAUUCUUGUUUAUUAUGGGCCAAGUUUUUAGUUGGUCCAAUUGAGGUCCAAAUUUAAUUUGUUUGAUUUCAACACAAAAUUAAUGUAUGGGGUUCUUUGUAAUGCUAAUUAUCUAACCAUGUAUUUAGAUUUUUGAUUUUAGGACCUGUUUAAUUGGUCACAGUAAGGUGAAAGGGUCCAAAAUUAAAUUUGUUUGAUUUCAUCAAAAAUCGAAUUAUUGGGGUUCUUUGAUAUGCCAAAUCUAACUAUGUUUUUAGAUUUUUUUUUUCCUGUUUUCAAAUUGGUCUACAUUAAGGUCCAAAGGGUCCAAAAUUUGAUUUUGUUUACAUUUUAACAAAAAUUUAUUUCUUGGAGUUCUUUGAUAUACUGAAUCUAAACAUGUUUUUAGAUUUUUAUGCCCCACCUACGAUAGUUGAGGGGCAUUAUGUUUUCUGGUCUGUGCCUGUGUCCGUCCAUCCUUCCGUCUGUGCGUCCUUCUGUCUGUCCGUCCAUUUUGUUCAGGUUAAAGCUUUUGGUCAAGGUAGUUUUUGAUGAAGUUGAAGUCCUAUCAACUUCAAACUAAGUACUCAUGUUCCCUAUGAUAUAAUCUUCUAAUUUAAUUGCCAAAUUAGACUUUGACCGCAAAUUCACGGUCUACUGAACAUAAAAAUAAUAGUUCAAGUUUCAGGUUAAAAUUUUGGUCAAGGUAGUUUUUGAUGAAGUUGAAGUCAAUAAACUUCAAACUUAGUACAUAUGUUCCUAUGAUAUGAUCUUUCUAAUUUAAUUGCAAUUAGAGUUUUGACCAAUUUCACGGUCUACUGAACAAAGAUAAUGAUAAUUGAGUGGGGCAUCCGUGUACUAUGGACACAUUCUUGUUUGUUAUGAGCCAAGUUUUUAAGUUGGUCCAAUUGAGGUCCAAAAUUUAACUUUGUUUGAUUUCAACAAAAAUUGAAUGUAUGUGGUUCUUUGUAAUGCUAAUUAUCUAACCAUGUAUUUAGAUUUUUGAUUUUAGGACUCUGUUAUCAAAUUGGUCCACAGUAAGGUCGAAAAGGUCCAAAAUUAAACUUUUGUUUGAUUUCAUCAAAAAUUGAAUUCUGGGGAUUCUUUGAUAUGCUGAAUCAAUCCAUUUUUGGAUAUUGGAUCAUAAUGGGUAAAUUAAAAUUUUUUAAUAGAUAUAGGAAGAUGUUGUGUGAAUGCCAAUGAGACAACUCUCCAUCCAAAUAACAAUUUAUAAAAGUAAACAAUUAUAGGUCAAUGUACGGCCUUCAACACGGAGCCUUGGCUCACACCGAACAAAAAGCUAUAAAGGGCCCCAAAAUUACUAGUGUAAAACCAUUCAAACAGGAAAACCAACCGUCUAAUCUAUAUAAAAAACAAGAAACGAAAAACAGGUAUAAAUUACAUAAACAAACAACAACCACUGUACAUCAGAUUCCUGACAUGUGCAAACAUUUGCAGCGGGACCAAACGUCCUAAUGGUACCAAACCCUCUCCCUUUUUCUAAAACAACAGUAUAACACCACAACAUAGAAAAACACAUGAUAAAAUAUCAACUGGAAGGCUUAACUCAAUCAAAAAACGCAAAUCAACACACUAUGAACGAAUAAUUUGAUCUGCGAUACCUAAAUGCAAAUGCACAGCCAAUAGAACAUCAGGGACAAACACUCAAUGCCAAAAAGCAAAUAAACAAGUCCAAAUAAAGCCAUGGCAAGACACCACAGCGAAAUAUUUAGCCCUCCGAAAAUAAUCACCCCUGAAAAAAAAACGGUUUUAACAAUAUCUACAGCCAAAUGAAAAACAACUUUGUCGUCCUAGGUAUACCACCCUUGUGCAUAAAACUCUUCCAAUAAUUAGGAAUAUCCUGUCAUAUAAAUACACAAUUCAACACUAGAUACAAAUUGGGAUGAAUAUCAACAAUAAAACUAUACAAUAGAGCUAGCCAAAACUUCCCUGCACAGACCCAAGGAGAACAAUCUUGAUGUUCAUACAAAUGCAGUACGUAGAAGGGAAAACCAGUAGACAUUCCAAACAAUCAAAGCUGGCAUAUAGACAAGAUCAUAUUAAUACAAAAUAACAAAAUAAUUACAAAAAGUAUCAACAGUGAAUCAACAAGAAAAUACGAUUUGAGAGUCUCACAGUUACUGACAGCUAGUUAAAAGCCAAAACAAUUAUAAAUAAAAAAUCAUGCAUCAAGAGACUAAAAUCAACUAAAACAUAUCCAGGGAUUUGUAUUUUAAUGUCAUGUACAGUCAGAGAGACUGAACUUGUGCAAUGCCAAAAAUAAAUGUAUCGACAGGUAGUAGGAUAGUGAGAAGACUUAGAGAAUAAAAUUAACGUGUACUGUGUGUCUCUUACAUCCCACUCAAAGAGAUACAAUUUAGUUAUGUUUUAAUUUGCUAAUGACAUUAUCGAUAUUAAUGAUAAUGUAAACUAUAUUCAGAGAUCUAAUUACAAUAUUGUACGAUAACCCUUUCUGUAGUUUGUUUAAAGUUCGCUGAUUUUACACUGAUCACAUAGUGAUUUCCUCGCUUUAAGUACGAUAUUCAUGUAAAAUUUAGGAUGUGAAAUACCAUUUUUAAUAAGUUUUUCUACAGGUACAGCCAAUUUACAAAUCAAAUCUUUGUAUCUAUGAAAGAUAAGUUCAUUAGACCACAUUCAUUUUGUGUCAGAAACCUAUGCUGUGUGUAAUAUUUAAUCACAAUCCAAAUUCAGAGAUGUAUCAAGCUUGAAUGUUGUGUCCAUGCUGGCCCUAAUAGUUAAGAGUUCGACCUGUGGUCAUAUAUAGCUGCCCCCCGCGUAAAUUUUUUUUCAAUCUGAGCAUGCAAAGGGAAGAUUUUGUUAUAUAUUUUACAUUAAACAUAAUGCAGAACAAAAACAUUUAUUAUGAGAGUCCCAGACACUAUAUUAGUGGACACUUUUCCGUCUAAUUCCAUGUGUUUUCAAUUGUUUAUAGUAAACUCUAAGCAGCCCAGAAUGCAUUGUAGUUCAUUGAUUCGAUUGGUCAGUUUUCAAGGUCAUAUUGGCCUUUUGUUUGGGAAAUUAGUAUGCAAAUAUAUUCUGACGGAGGAAAUCUAGAGUGCACCCGACCUGUGAGAACAUUGUAUGAUUAUGAGUAUUUAACAUGUAUAUUAAAAAAUUUAAUUGCGUACUACUUAAAUAUUUUUUAUAGUCCUCAAGUAAAAAGUUUUCUUUUCAUUCAUAUUAAUUGUUGCACAAUAAAAAAACAUAAGAUUUGUAUAUGUGAAUGUGUAAAUGAACAACUAUGCAUCUAAGAUCAAAGGACAAGAAUGUAAUGCAUUAAGGUUAUCGUAUGGCCUUCAACACUGCAAAUUGCAUAUCAUGUAGUAAACUUCAUUAAACAUGUUGAUAAGUGAGGAGAGAAAAUGUAAGAGAAUGAUUAUUUAUGUAUGCAUAAACAUGUAUGUAGUACAAUGUGAAUUGAUAUUUUAAGGAUAAGAAAUCCAGGAUAUAAACACAGUGCCUUCAUUUCCAUAGCAACUAUAAGUUUCAUGCUUCCAUGGCAGGUAAGAUUUCAGUGUUUUGUUGGUUUUAAGUCUUACAUGAAAGUAUGCAAAAUGACAGACAAAUGCAUGGUAUUCAUGCAGCAACUUCCAAUGACAUUAUUUUGAAAGAAUACAUAUUGAGAAGGAAGGAGA
rnacentral:lncRNA from 1 species